rnacentral:rRNA from 1 species
UUCGACGCAACGCGAAGAACCUUACCUGGGCUUGACAUCCCGACUCGUACGAUAUGGAAACGAUAUUGGUCAGUUCGGCUGGAUCGGUGACAGGUGCUGCAUGGCUGUCGUCAGCUCGUGUCGUGAGAUGUUGGGUUAAGUCCCGCAACGAGCGCAACCCUCGACUUUAGUUACCAUCAUUAAGUUGGGUACUUUAAAGUAAACCGCCGGUGAUAAGCCGGAGGAAGGUGGGGAUGACGUCAAGUCCUCAUGGCCCUUACGCGCUGGGCUACACACGUGCUACAAUGGCAAGUACAGUGGGCAGCAAUCCCGCGAGGGUGAGCUAAUCUCCAAAACUUGUCUCAGUUCGGAUUGUUCUCUGCAACUCGAGAGCAUGAAGGCGGAAUCGCUAGUAAUCGCGGAUCAGCAUGCCGCGGUGAAUACGUUCCCAGGCCUU